AGCAAAAACAGUAAUACUCUCUCCCUCUGUUUUUAAGCUAACUCGCCUCCCUCAUCCAUCCACUGCAACUCCUGCUCCCUCUCUCUCUUUCUCUUCCAUUUAUCUACAUGCCAAUCCAUGGCGGUCCUUAGCUCUCGCUCCCUCCUUUCUCCUUCUUCUUCUCUUUUCUAUCUCGUAAAGCUCAAUCCCUCCUCUUCUCUCCCUUCUUCAAUUUCCUUUCCUCUCUUCAACUCCCAACCCAAGCUCCACACCUCAAAUCUCAUUUUCAAAACCGAAGCCGUGUCUUCAUCAUCUAUCGUCGGCGUCGGCGAGGACUUGCCCGCCGAUUACGACGAAUGGUUUCCCAAACCUGAUCCUAUCCAUAGGAGGAGAGCCGGCAUUUUGCUCCAUCCGACGUCGUUCCAAGGGCCAUACGGCAUUGGAGAUCUCGGAGACGAGGCUUUUCGUUUCAUUGAUUGGCUUCAUGACGCUGGUUGCUCUGUUUGGCAGGUUCUUCCUCUUGUGCCUCCAGGAAGAAAGGCUAAUGAAGAAGGAUCACCAUACUCAGGGCAGGAUGCAAAUUGUGGUAAUACGCUCUUAAUUUCUCUGGAAGAGCUUGUAAAGGAUGGAUUGUUGACAAAGGAUGAGCUUCCAGAUCCAGUAAUCUCUGAUCGUGUGAACUUUUCUGCUGUUAGUAAGCUAAAGGAUCCCUUGGUAGCUAAGGCUGCAGAGAGGCUUAUUCAGAGUGGUGGUCAGCUUAAAAGUCAGCUUGAAGAUUUCCGCAAAGACCCUAGAAUAUCAGGUUGGCUUGAAGAUGCAGCUUAUUUUGCUGCUAUUGAUGAUACUUUAAAUACAUUGAAUUGGUACGAUUGGCCUGAACCUUUAAAAAACCGCCAUCUUGCAGCCUUGGAGGAAAUUUAUCAAAGCAAAAAGGAUUUUAUAGAGAUUUUCAUCGCCCAACAGUUCUUGUUCCAGAGGCAAUGGCAGAAAGUGCGCAACUAUGCAUGGGAGAAGGGAAUUAGUAUAAUGGGGGACAUGCCCAUUUAUGUAGGUUAUCACAGUGCUGAUGUUUGGGCAAAUAAGAAACAUUUUUUGUUGAACAGGAAUGGCUUUCCUCUUCUAGUCAGUGGUGUUCCUCCUGAUGCCUUCAGUGAUACAGGUCAAUUGUGGGGCAGCCCUCUCUAUGAUUGGAAAGCCAUGGAGAAAGAUGGAUAUUCAUGGUGGAUACGCCGCAUACAACGAGCUCAAGAUCUGUAUGAUGAAUUUAGGAUUGACCAUUUUAGAGGUUUUGCUGGAUUUUGGGCUGUUCCUUCUGAUGCAAAAAUUGCAAUGGUUGGAAACUGGAAGGUCUGGUUUCUGUAAUUCUCAUUAAAGUGUAAUUUUUGUAAAUUUUCCUGUUAUCCAAUCUAGAUAUUAUUUUGAUGACAGUAGGCUGGACCUGGGAAAUCCGUCUUUGAUGCCAUCUCCAGAGCUGUUGGAAAGAUCAGCAUCAUAGCAGAAGAUUUGGGAGUUAUUACUGAGGAUGUAGUGCAGCUUAGGAAAUCUAUUGGUGCUCCGGGAAUGGCUGUCCUUCAGUUUGGUUUUGGAAGUGAUGCAGAUAACCCUCAUUUACCUCAUAACCAUGAAGCCAAUCAAGUUGUAUACACUGGAACUCAUGAUAAUGAAACGAUCCGAGGUUGGUGGGAUGUUGUGGAGCAAGAGGAGAAGUCAAAUGUACUGAAGUAUCUUUCAAUUACUGAAGAAGAUGAUAUAUCAUGGGCACUCAUCCAAGCUGUAUUUGCAUCAGUGGCCCAAACUGCUGUAAUACCCCUGCAAGAUAUUCUUGGACUUGGGAGUUCUGCCAGGAUGAACAUUCCUGCUACUCAGGUAAAGAAUAUCUUGAUAGAUAGAUAGACAGGUGCACAGGGGCUCCAUUGUCCACUAGUAUCUAGUCCAGUGUUAGAUAUGGCUUGCAGAGAUCCCACUUGAAAAUUUCUAGGACUUACACAAUGCUUCCAGAUUCCAGCCAUGCAUUGGCCACUGCUAGAUUAGAUAUUGUAAAUUCUAUUGUGCUUUAGCUACAUGCACCUAAAUUAAAUUUUUUAUGAACUGCUCACCAUACAUUGGGGCUAACCUGAUUCACCUUAUUCAAUAUGUCACCGUCUUUCUAGGCCUCUAAUCUGUAUAUUUGACCCUUUUUCUUCCUAUUCUGGUCAUAUUAUUGACUUGGCAAAUCUCAGCCUGGUCCCUGGUUAGUCCGUCCACCUCCAGAUUACGAAGCAUCCUUUAUUACACCAAUUCCCAUGGGAUUGAGAUUACUUGAGAUGAUAUAAUGACUUGUUUUUCAACUAUUGAAUUUUAACUAAAAUUCAUGAAAGUUUUCCACAUAAUUUGGGCAUUUGGCUCUUUGAUGUAUCUAUUUUAAUGAUUUGGAUGCAGUCUGGAAACUGGAGUUGGAGGAUACCUAGUUCCAUAAGUUUCAAUCAAAUGGAGAAAGAAGCAGCAAGACUAAGGGAUUUGCUUUCAAUGUAUGGGCGGGUGUAGAUGAGGACAGCAAAUGCAUUCUUAGAGGCUACACUUGGAUUUUGCUUCCGCAAGCUUCAAUGAACCUUUUAGUUUAGCGCUUAGGCCACCUCAGAGGCUAC
rnacentral:misc_RNA from 1 species